UACGAAGGGGGCUAGCGUUGUUCGGAAUUACUGGGCGUAAAGCGCGCGCAGGCGGCUAUCCAAGUCAGUGGUGAAAGCCCGGAGCUCAACUCCGGAACUGCCAUUGAAACUGUUUAGCUUGAGUAUGAGAGAGGUGAGUGGAAUUCCCAGUGUAGAGGUGAAAUUCGUAGAUAUUGGGAAGAACACCGGUGGCGAAGGCGGCUCACUGGCUCAUUACUGACGCUCAGGCGCGACAGCGUGGGGAGUCAAACAGG
rnacentral:rRNA from 1 species